AUUGAACGCUGGCGGCAGGCCUAACACAUGCAAGUCGAACGGUAACAGGAAGAAGCUUGCUUCUUUGCUGACGAGUGGCGGACGGGUGAGUAAUGUCUGGGAAACUGCCUGAUGGAGGGGGAUAACUACUGGAAACGGUAGCUAAUACCGCAUAACGUCGCAAGACCAAAGAGGGGGACCUUCGGGCCUCUUGCCAUCGGAUGUGCCCAGAUGGGAUUAGCUAGUAGGUGGGGUAACGGCUCACCUAGGCGACGAUCCCUAGCUGGUCUGAGAGGAUGACCAGCCACACUGGAACUGAGACACGGUCCAGACUCCUACGGGAGGCAGCAGUGGGGAAUAUUGCAAAAUGGGCGCAAGCCUGAUGCAGCCAUGCCGCGUGUAUGAAGAAGGCCUUCGGGUUGUAAAGUACUUUCAGCGGGGAGGAAGGGAGUAAAGUUAAUACCUUUGCUCAUUGACGUUACCCGCAGAAGAAGCACCGGCUAACUCCGUG
rnacentral:rRNA from 1 species